GUUGAUCAUGGCUCAGGAUGAACGCUAGCUACAGGCUUAACACAUGCAAGUCGAGGGGCAGCAUGUGGUUGCUUGCAACCAAUGAUGGCGACCGGCGCACGGGUGAGUAACGCGUAUCCAACCUCCCCACAGUAGAGGAUAGCCCGGCGAAAGUCGGAUUAAUACUCUAUGUUGUAUUUUGAGGACAUCUGACGAAUACCAAAGGUUUACCGCUAUGGGAUGGGGAUGCGUCUGAUUAGGUAGUCGGCGGGGUAACGGCCCACCGAGCCAUCGAUCAGUAGGGGUUCUGAGAGGAAGGUCCCCCACAUUGGUACUGAGACACGGACCAAACUCCUACGGGAGGCAGCAGUGAGGAAUAUUGGUCAAUGGGCGCGAGCCUGAACCAGCCAAGUAGCGUGCAGGACGACUGCCCUAUGGGUUGUAAACUGCUUUUAUGCGGGAAUAAAGUGGCGUACGUGUACGCUUUUGUAUGUACCGCAUGAAUAAGGACCGGCUAAUUCCGUGCCAGCAGCGGC
rnacentral:rRNA from 1 species